GCCUGGCUGGCUCAGUUGGUAGAGUGUACAACUCUUGAUCUUGAGGUUGUGGAUUUGAACCCCAUGCUGGGUA
rnacentral:tRNA from 1 species